CCUACGGGCGGCAGCAGUAGGGAAUAUUGCUCAAUGGGGGAAACCCUGAAGCAGCAACGCCGCGUGGAGGAUGAAGGUUUUCGGAUUGUAAACUCCUUUUGGUAGAGAAGAAAAUGACGGUAUCUAACGAAUAACCACCGGCUAACUCCGGGACAACAGCCGCGGUAAUACGGAGGGUGCGAGCGUUACUCGGAAUCACUGGGCGUAAAGAGCGCGUAUGCGGGAUAGCAAGUCAGAUGUGAAAUCCUAUGGCUUAACCAUAGAACUGCAUUUGAAACUGGUAUUCUAGAGUAUGGGAGAGGUAGGUGGAAUUCUUGGUGUAGGGGUGAAAUCCGUAGAGAUCAAGAGGAAUACUCAUUGCGAAGGCGACCUGCUGGAACAUAACUGACGCUGAUGCGCGAAAGCGUGGGGAGCAAACAGGAUUAGAUACCCGGGUAGUC
rnacentral:rRNA from 1 species